ACAUCCACAAGAGGCGCGGCGCCUCCUGGGUCGUGUGGCCAGUCUCCGGUUCGCUUUGGAAGGCUCUGCUAAGGAAAUGGUCAGGUUGCCAAAGGACCGGUCAUCUCUCAUCCUCCCUCCGGUCGAUCGGUGCCUCGGGUCUGCUGGACGGAGCCUGGAGCCUGGAGCCAGGUGACUCUGACUGCUCUCUGUGGCCACUGGGAGCAGGAACCCAGGAAACGGCCAUUCUAGCCAUGAGGAGAAUUUUUAAACCACACAUGCAUGUCAGAGACGCAUACAGAGCGCUGAGCCAUGGGAAUGUCCCAAGAAGCCAUGAGACAAUAAAGCGAGAUGUGUCAGAGAAUGCCUGUUGGUUGAACAGCAAGGGCUGGGUUUCUUUCUCAGAAGAAAGAUGAUUUAGAGUCUGGCCCAGCCACAUCCCAGCUGUGUGGCCUCCAAGUCGUCUCAGAACUUCAGUGUUCUCGCCUAUCAAAUGACAGUUCCACGGAGACCCCACCAAGGGGCCAAGCAUCAGAGCUGUGGCGUUCACAGACAGUGGGGACAAAAGCAGAUCAAAAAGAAAGAAGAAAAGAGGGGAGAGAAGGGAAGACUCGGACAGCCACAAAGUUGUCACCGAUGGAGGAACCUAUAUUGUCUCAAAUCCUCUGUUCCUGG
rnacentral:lncRNA from 1 species